rnacentral:miRNA from 1 species
CCCAGGCCUGGUGCAUGCUACAUGCUCAGUAAAUGUGUGUUGGAUGAAUGAAUAAAAAGCUGGCCUCAGGAACACACCCAGUUGCCAACCAGUGGCCUCCCCAG